rnacentral:rRNA from 1 species
CACGUAGGGCGCAAGCGUUGUCCGGAAUUAUUGGGCGUAAAGAGCUCGUAGGCGGUCUGUUGCGUCCGCUGUGAAAACUCGGGGCUUAACCCCGAGCCUGCAGUGGAUACGGGCAGACUAGAGGUAGGUAGGGGAGAAUGGAAUUCCCGGUGUAGCGGUGAAAUGCGUAGAUAUCGUAAGGAAGACCAGUGGCGAAGGCGAGUCUCUGGACAGCAACUGACGCUGAGGCACGAAGGCCGGGGGAGCAAAAGGG